UCGACUGAGAGGGCUAGGGUACGCGGCUGGAUUCGAGAGAGGAGGGCGGCGGUGUGGGGCGGCGCAGGGCGUCGGGCGGUUGCGGGCGGUGCGGGGUGUUGGGCGGCGGGGGCGGCGGCACAGGGCGUUGGGCGGCGGCGCAUAUCCUCCGCGGUGGCGACGACGACGGGUUCGGCGGUGGCUGACAGCAUGCCUAUCUUCCAAACUCGUUGGUCGGCAAAGCGGCUGCGCGAAAUAGCCAAUGCCUAUCUCAAGUGAAUGGAGGCGUUUUGGAGUUUUAGAAAAUAUCUCCACAAAUGGCAGGAAUCCAACUGAUAAUUUUAUAUACUUAUGAAAAGUUGAAGUCAUAAAGGUUAUUUCCCUUCCUCUAACCAUUAUCUACCAUCUAGCUGGUCGCCCCAAUUAUUUUGACAAGCUUUAUUAUUCGAGAGGUCGCUAGAUCGAGCCCUAAGAAGUGCGAAUAAAACGCAUACUUUUUUCUUGGGAGGUCCAGAAUGGCGGGCCGACGGUCUGGUCUUGCACAUCGUUCUAGUAUGUUCUUAAAAACUUUCUGCUGUUUUUGUCACCAAAGGCAAUUGUAGUGGAGUGGCAAAGCUGUGUUAUCCAGAGGAUAA